rnacentral:rRNA from 1 species
UACGGAGGAUGCGAGCGUUAUCCGGAUUUAUUGGGUUUCAAGGGUGCGCAGGCGGCGUGUCAAGCAAGCGGUAAAAUAGCGGGGCUCAACCCCGUCGAGCCGUUUGAACUGGCGCGCUUGAGUUCAGGCGAGGUAGGCGGAAUUCGUGGUGUAGCGGUGAAAUGCAUAGAUAUCACGCAGAACCCCGAUUGCGAAGGCAGCAUACCGGCGCCCGACUGACGCUGAGGCACGAAAGUGCGGGUAUCGAACAGG